CCCUGGGGAUAACAGGCUUAUCUCCCCCAAGAGUCCACAUCGACGGGGAGGUUUGGCACCUCGAUGUCGGCUCAUCCCAUCCUGGGGCUGUAGUAGGUCCCAAGGGUUGGGCUGUUCGCCCAUUAAAGUGGUACGCGAGCUGGGUUCAGAACGUCGUGAGACAGUUCGGUCCCUAUCCGUCGCAGGCGUAGGAAAUUUGAGA
rnacentral:rRNA from 1 species